CCAACACUGGGACUGAGACACUGCCCAGACUCCUACGGGAGGCUGCAGUCGAGAAUCUUUCGCAAUGGGCGCAAGCCUGACGAAGCGACGCCGUGUGGAUGAUGACAGCUUUCGGGUUGUAAAGUCCUUUCGCUUGGGAGCAAGAGAAGUUAGUU
rnacentral:rRNA from 1 species